rnacentral:misc_RNA from 1 species
UGGCUCUCGCAUCGAUGAAGAACGCAGCGAAAUGCGAUAAGUAAUGUGAAUUGCAGAACCCAGUGAAUCAUCGAAUCUUUGAACGCACCUUGCGCUCUCUGGUAUUCCGGAGAGCAUGUCUGUCUGAGUGUCAUGUACUCCUCAGAUUCCCUCUUUUGGGUCUCUGGAUCGUGAGCAUUUGCCGGCCCCAAUCAGGCCUUGGCUUGCUUGAAAUGUAUUGUGUGUCCAUACCGUUUGGCCGCUCAGCGUGAUAGUGUGAAAACCUUUUGAGCUGAGUUGGUUGGCGGUGCGACUUUGUCGAUCUUCUCCUAGCGGAAAGAUCUCUUUAGACCUCAGAUCAGGCAGGACUACCCGCUGA